CAGCUUUCGUCAUUGUUGCGAUGUCAGUAUCAGAGACGAAGUUGAGCUAACUUGUGCUACAUGAACUGAAUGAGCAGGAUGACCAUGUAUUCAUCAGUCAAAGCUGGAUUGAAGACAAACUUGUACAAAGAACACAGUGUAAGGAAAACUGGAUCAACAGCUUUCAAAAGAGAUUCUCACUUAAUAAGGACUAGAGCAUUUGUGAUCUACGAAUCCAGGACAAAGACUUCUUAGACUAUCGAUGCUUCAGAUCGCAGAG